rfam:Oryza sativa (indica cultivar-group) chromosome 2, whole genome shotgun sequence.
AAAAAGACAAACCCUGAGUUUCUGUGUUCAACUUUGACUGUCCGUCUUAUAUAAAUUUUUUUUAUAAUUCGUAUUUUCAUUGUUGUUAGAUGAUAAAAACAUGAUUAAUAUUUUAUGUGUGACUUGUCUUUUUAAUUUUUUUCAUAAUUUUUUCAAAUAAGACGGACGGUCAAACGUUGGACACGGAAACCAGGGUUUGUCUUUUU